rnacentral:rRNA from 1 species
GACGAACGCUGGCGGCGUGCUUAACACAUGCAAGUCGAACGGAAAGGCCUGCUUUCCCUUGUGGAUUGCGGGUACUCGAGUGGCGAACGGGUGAGUAACACGUGAGUGAUCUGCCCCCAACUUGGGUAUAAGCCUGGGGAACUGGGUCUAAUUCCCGAUAGGACUGCAGGGUGGUGCCUGUGGUGGAAAACGAUUUUCUAGUGGUUGGGGAUGAGCUCGCGGCCUAUCAGCUUGUUGGUGGGGUAAUGGCCUACCAAGACGGCGACGGGUAGCCGGCCUGAGAGGGUGGACGGCCACAUUGGGACUGAGAUACGGCCCAGACUCCGACGGGAGGCAGCAGUGGGGAAGAUUGCACAAUGGGCGGAAGCCUGAUGCAGCGACGCCGCGUGGGGGAUGACGGCCUUCGGGUUGUAAACUCCUUUCGACCGCGAGGAAGCCACCUGGUUGGAAGGGUGGUGACGGUAGUGGUAGAAGAAGCACCGGCUAACUACGUG